rnacentral:rRNA from 1 species
AACGCUGCUGGCGUGCCUAUUCAUGCAAGUCUCGCGGUACUGUGACGGAGCUUGCUCAUGUUCAAGUUAGCGGCGGACGGGCUAGCAGUAACACGUGGGUAACCUGCCUGUAAGACUGGGAUAACUCCGGGAAACCGGGGCUAAUACCGGAUAUUCUUUUUCUGUCGCAUGAAGAAGAAUGGAAAGGCGGCUUUUAGCUGUCACUUACAGAUGGACCCGCGGCGCAUUAGCUAGUUGGUGAGGUAACGGCUCACCAAGGCGACGAUGCGUAGCCGACCUGAGAGGGUGAUCGGCCACACUGGGACUGAGACACGGCCCAGACUCCUACGGGAGGCAGCAGUAGGGAAUCUUCCGCAAUGGACGAAAGUCUGACGGAGCAACGCCGCGUGAGUGAAGAAGGUUUUCGGAUCGUAAAGCUCUGUUGUCAGGGAAGAACAAGUACCAAAGUAACUGUUGGUACCUUGACGGUACCUGACCAGAAAGCCACGGCUAACUACGUGCCAGCAGCCGCGGUAAUACGUAGAGUGGCAAGCGUUGUCCGGAAUUAUUGGGCGUAAAGCGCGCGCAGGCGGCUUCUUAAGUCUGAUGUGAAAGCCCACGGCUCAACCGUGGAGGGUCAUUGGAAACUGGGAGGCUUGAGUGCAUAAGAGGAUAGCGGAAUUCCACGUGUAGCGGGAGAAAUGCGUAUAGAUGUGGAAGAACACCAUUGGCAAAGGAGGCUCUUUGGUCUGAAACUGACGCUGACGCGCGAAAGCCUGGCGAGCGACAAGGAUUAAAUCCCCUGGU